rnacentral:lncRNA from 1 species
AUGUCCACAAACAUGCCACCGGGGAGCCUGAAUCUGGAGUCACAGCUUUUGUCCAUUAUGGACGUGCUGGUGAAAGCGGCAGUGGCAGAAAUCAGCCAGCUGUUCUCGGAGAGCUCGGCGUCUCUCCGUCUGCAUUUAACCCAGAGCUUGAAGGAAAACGAAAACCUGAGGACGAGGAUGAAGGUUAUGAGGAGUGAGCUCUUCUCCCUCAGGCUACAAACCAGAACUAAUCGACCAGCGAGCCGCUUUUCUCCCGUCAGAGGAAACAUAACCAAACCACGAGCUAAGCCACAAGUUCUCAUCAAAUCACAAGUGGCUCAAAAGGCGGGUGGGGAAGCUGCUUCUAUCGUCCUGCAGUCGGAGAAAAAGACCACCUCCUCUGCAGCUCAAGUGCAGUGUGCAGAUGUGGAGAGUCCAGAUGUCAUUCUAAUCAAAGAUGAGGAUGAUGUGGGAGGAUGUGGCCCAGAUAUUGGUGGUGAGUAGGAUUUUUAAGUGAGCUUAAAGGGCCAAUUAAUUAUUGUUUUUAUUUGUAUUUUAUGUCUUUACUUGUCAUCACUACAGCACACAGAUUCUUAAAGCCUAGAUUGUCUAUCUUCUAUCUUAGGGCUGAAAAACUAUUAAACCAGGCAAGGCCGAGAAUAGGAGGAAGAAAGUAGAUCAGACGUCAAGCACCUGAUAGAAAGUCUCUCUUUCUAAAUUACACACAAGCAGUUCCUCAUUGAUGAGUGCUGAGUAAGACUGGCCUAAGCGCUGCUGUUUCUUCGAUAGUGGCCUUUAAAGAUUCUGUUCUCUGUCUUUUCAGAUCAGGGUGACUUUAGAAACCACAGCCUGCAGGGCGGUGUUGCAACAGGAGCUCAGAAUUUGGAGCCAGCUGGUUCCUCUUGCUCAACAGGUGAUAAUGAGGAGCUGAGAAUCGUGUGCGUUCACGGCCGAGGCGAAGGGCCUCUACAGGAUGAAAGUGACACCCUCUUCUCUGCGUCUGAGCUUCAGGCUUUUAGCUCUCUGUCCAACCACAACGUCAGCCACGACAACCUCCUGAAUUUCACCACCG